GAACAGCCUCGUGGCGAUUUGUUACCGGAUUGCGGGCCACGUUAAAUAUGCCGCUAAAGAGGGUCAGGUGCCAGCGUU
rnacentral:ncRNA from 1 species